rnacentral:lncRNA from 1 species
GAGUUCAAGAGAUUGUGGUCACCCACCGUUGGAUAUUAAUUCAAUGGUUCAAAAAAGUUGUUUAAAAGGAAUGCAAGAGUGAGUAAACCGUUGAAUUUACAUCCAAUGGUGAGUGAUCACAGAUCUCUUAGGGCAUGUUUGGUAGGCCUCACUCCCUUGGACUGUGCUAAAUAGGGCUUGAAGCCCAUGUUUGGUAAAACAAAGGAUUAAGUUAAAUGGGAUUAUGGAGUCCAACAGUAAAAAAACCUCCUCACUCGCUCUCUUUAUACAGAGAGCCUAAAAUUCGGUUCUCAAAAUAAGCCCUUCGCUGAAUUGAGAACACGCGACUCUGCCUCUCUCUCUCUCUCUCUCAUUCGCGACUCUGCCUCUCUCUCUCGUUCUCGUUCGCAACUCCGGCUCUCUCUCUCUCUCUCGUUUCGCGACUCCGGCUCUCUCGUUCGCGACUCCGGCUCUCUUUCUCAUAUGUUCUCUCUCUCUGCCACAUUUUUCAAAGGUAAUUUUUUAUGGGUAUUGCUUUUUCUUUGGGAGUUAUUGAGAAAUUUCAUUGUUAGGUUGUUAUUUUCUAUCUAUCCUCUGUUUGGUUGCUGGGAAUUUUAGGCAAGAAAAAGGGAAAAUCUUCCAUUUUUGUGUUUUAUGCUGUUAUAGAUUAUAUAAUAAUUAGUGGUUUCACUUAAGUUAAGCGGAUAAUGGAAAUCGAAUUAAAAAAUUUAGCUGCAUGUGUCAUUUUAGAUUCAAUUUCUGAGCAACCAAAUAGUGCAUUAGGGUUUGAAUGUGGAUCUGUGUAUCUCUGUGAAAAAUUUGCUUCACUUUUGCUAUAGUAUUUCUAUGUUUUGCUGCUUCACUUUUGCUGUAGUAUUUUUGUGAGAAAUUUCCUUGUUUUGGAUUGCAAUUCAAAAACUAUACUAUUUCUAAAAAUGGACAUCCAUUUUAGAAAUUAGAGUUGUAUCCUGAUUUUUUUAAGUUAAACUUCUGUUUAGCAAGGCAUAUUGGCUUGUUUGGAUCUGUGUGGGUUUAAAUGUUUCAAUUGUUUCCAUUGUUUGGAUCAGUCAGCCAAGUACUUGUUUCCUCUGUUAUAUUGCAGUUUUUGGAUCAUAUUGGAUUAUUACAGUGAAGCUAUUUAUGCUUGGUUGUAGAGGUGCUUUGUUGUCACUGCUUGAAUCAUUGAAUGGGCUUAAAGGCCAAGUUGGUUAGUGAAAUUUUAGUUUCUCCAUUGCUCUAUUUGGCAUAGUAAAAUCACUUACUCAAAAACCUACCUAGCUCUAUAUUUGGUUCACUAAUUACUAGUCAUGCCUAACACUAGUCUGCAGAUCAUGAUGUUUUGUUUUUCUGGUGUUCCUGUGAACUUCUUGGGCACUCUUGUUUUUGUUCUUCUGUAUUUUUUGCUUUUCCUGGUAUAAAAGUUCUUUUUUUUUAUUUUUUAUUUUAUAAAUAAAAUGAAGUUGGAUCAUGGUAUUCAAACAGGACUUGUUGGAGGCACACCUAUUGUAAGGAUAUCAUCAGAGGCAUAUUGUGGAUGGUGAGUGGUCGCUAUCACUAUUGUUUGAUUACACAUGGGCUAAGAAUCUUGUUCUGUUAAUAACAUUGUUCUGUUUAGAUUCAAAGAUUUUGUUUUGUUAUUCUUAGGGUUGAAAAUUUACCUCAUUGACCCUAUAAUAAUUUUGUUUUUGGAGUUGUAUUCCUUUUUUUUUGGUAAUCUGAUUAUGGAAUGCGGAUAUUAUUGCAAUGCCUUGUUGAGAAUUGCUUGUCAGUUGAGCGAUUGCAGGUAUGGUUAUGCAAAUUGUGUUAUAAUAUUAAACUGAAUUAUUGAUCUCUAAUCUACAAUUGAUUUUGAGUAUGACUGAAAAGAUUAUUGAGCAAUUAGUGUCUGGAUGGUUGUGUUAUAAUAUGAAAUCUGAUUUUUUGUUAAUGAACUGCUCAAGAAUAUGAUUUUUCAUAUAUGGAUUUUGGAAAAUUGUUGUGUUGGUUGAGUUAUACAAUGAAAUCUCAAUUUUAUCUUGAGUAUAAAUUGCUCGCCAAUAUGAUUUUGCAAAUAUGUAUAUUGGGCGAUUUGAAGUGAUAUCUUAUGCAAAUUUAGUACCUUACACUUUUUAAUCUUAUGUUCAUAUUCCUGUUGUUUAUGUUUCCAUUUUAUAUGCUCUUUUCAUGUUUAUUUCAAUAUGUGAGACUUAUGAAACGGAAGGACACCUACACCAAAACGCAAUUGGAUAAAGUUCGAGAUGAAUGAGCAAGUCAAGUCAUAUAUUAGAGUGGCUUUUUGUUUGAAAUAAGCAUUCUCCCUUCAUUUUAAAUGUAUUUUUGUUGCUAGUAUGUUGCUUAAAGACAAGUAUGGAUCAUAUGUGGGGUUGAAAAAUUUAUGAUUUAUGGAAGUGUUGGAUAUAUAUUUGAUGUAUGGAUGUAUUUAAAUUUAUAUAUGGUUUUUAAUGUGCAAUGGGCAACACUACAUGAUAUUGUUCAUAACAACCUCAAUUUUGCACAAACAAAUAAAAUUUAAAAUUUAAAAUAACAACAAUACUCAUAAGACAACUGAGUGGUGGUCGGUGGUUAUUAUUGAUAUAUAAAUCAAAUUCUUUGUGUUUGCAUACAAGUAAAGACUUAAUUAUACAUAAACUCGAUGAAAUUUAUAACCUUAAUAACAAACAAAAAGUCUUUAGUUUGGAGGAAAAGAAAUGUACAUGUGAGUUUGGUAAUUAUAAUAACAAAAAAAAA